UUUCAGUACUCUGGUUUCCAGCAGACGGCGGAUAAGUGUUUUGUGUGCGGUCACCUCAUCAUGGAGAUGAUCCUGCAGGCGCUGGGAAAGUCGUACCAUCCGGGUUGUUUCCGCUGUGUGGUUUGUAAAGAGGGUUUAGACGGAGUGCCGUUCACCGUGGACGUUGAGAACAACAUCUACUGUGUCAAAGACUACCACACGGUAUUUGCUCCCAAGUGUGCCUCCUGCAACCAGCCCAUCCUCCCAGCACAGG